AUACAGGGGGUGCAAGCGUUGCUCGGAAUCACUGGGCGUAAAGCGUGCGCAGGCGGAACGUUAAGUCGGGUGUGAAAUCCCGGGGCUCAACCCCGGAACUGCAUUCGAAACUGGCGAUCUUGAGUGCGGCAGAGGUGAGUGGAAUUCCUGGUGUAGAGGUGAAAUUCGUAGAUAUCAGGAGGAACACCGGUGGCGAAAGCGACUCACUGGGCCGACACUGACGCUCAUGCACGAAAGCGUGGGGAGCAAACAGGAUUAGAUACCCUGGUAGUCCACGCCGUAAACGAUGGAUGCUAGCUGCUGGGAAGCCUUAUCUUUUCUCGGUGGCGCAGCUAACGCGUUAAGCAUCCCGCCUGGGAAGUACGGUCGCAAGACUAAA
rnacentral:rRNA from 1 species